CCAAGAUGGCGGCCAAUGUUUAUAUUAGAAGAGAACAGCUAGUGUGCGCUUGAAUGAUACAACUUUCCUUGUAGAAGCAUCGUGCACGGAAUCUCGGUGACACUCCUCAAUUCAACAGAAUAAUUAAUUUGCUGAGAAUAAUGGCUAUCGAUCUGAACGCACUUCAAUGGGGCUCACUCAGCCAGCAGCAGACUCUCACCCCUGCACAGAAGUUGGCGAGACAGAAACUGCUGCAAGCGAAGUUGCAAAAAGAAGCGAACAAAUUUGUGCUCCAGAUAAAAAAAAUGAGCACAAAAUACCCAACACAAUAGAUUCGAGUACAAAUGAAGACAAAGCAAUAUGUAAGAAACUUCUGCAUUACAUCAACCAACGUGAACAGCACAUACCAAAAAGCAGAAAAAACAACAACAACAAAUAAAACCGAUUCUCCAGUUUAAAAACCAUCAAAAAGAAAUAGCACAUUGAACCAGCGUUAAAACUACAAAAAUAAAAGCUUAAAUCACAGAAGCUGAUAGAAAACAACUUCUGACCGGCCGGCCUGGCCCAGCUCUCAAAAAACAGUCCCAUACAAAAACAAUAGAAUAUUUGUCAACCAAUAACGAACCAAUUUGUCAAUAAAUAUGUAAAAGAUAUGCUCGAA